rnacentral:rRNA from 1 species
GACGUAGGGCGCGAGCGUUGUCCGGAUUUAUUGGGCGUAAAGAGCUCGUAGGCGGCUUGUCGCGUCGGUCGUGAAAACUUGGGGCUCAACCCCAAGCCUGCGGUCGAUACGGCCAGGCUCGAGUUCGGUAGGGGAGACUGGAAUUCCUGGUGUAGCGGUGAAAUGCGCAGAUAUCAGGAGGAACACCGGUGGCGAAGGCGGGUCUCUGGGCCGAUACUGACGCUGAGGAGCGAAAGCGAGGGGAGCGAACAGG